rnacentral:lncRNA from 1 species
CGUGGAUGUGGAAGGCAGGAUUCAAAUGAAUAUCCUAGCGCUAAUCAGUACUACGGAAUUGAGAUGAAGUGCAUUCUUUGCACCAAAUCGUGCCGUAACUUCAGUGUUCGUUGAUGUUCGAAUAGCUAGCGUAUACUAUUACAGAUCCUUUGAGAUUGAUGUUCGCUGAUAUAGAUAUUUACGCUCCCAGGGAGGAAAGUAGGACAUUUCAAACCGCGUGUUAAAUAGCCUUCUGAGACAAAGACGAGGGUGGCAAACAUACGGAUUGGGAUGUCCUCUUUUUCUUGCUGGUGCGUGUCAUAUUUUCCGUCAUAUUUGUAACCAAAAGUUUUAAUUUUGUGCCAUUGUUUUUUUAGGAAGGUUAGUGCAAAUGUCAAGCUGUUUAUUUGUAUAUGAUAUUUCAUAAGGUAAGAGUCGCAUUUCUUUUCCACAAAAUAGGGCAGAAAGUUUUAACAUUCAGUGCAGAUAUGAUGAAAAAUAGAACAUAGUUGUCUUAGUUUAAGAUAUAGACAUAGGGGUAGGUAGCAUAAGAGGGUAGGUGGUAUGCCUCAAGUUCGUAGCUUAAAACGGGUAAACACUAUAAACAAAACGAAUAAUGUGUUGAAACAAUAGAUGUAAGUUUUAUACAAUAAAUAUAACGUUUCUUACAACUGAUGUUUUAUUUAUUCAUUUAAUUAUAUAACAACACAAUAUUAUCAGAUAGAAGUAAAACUAGUCACGAAUACACGAAUAUCAUUCCUUAGCUAAUUGAUAACUCAGGAUGUAUUCUAUUCUUAAUUGUUUGCCGUGCGUCAUUUUAACAACUUGAAACUAUUAUCACACCCCAAGUCUAUGAAACAAUAUUUGCGCAUACUUUAUUCAUCUACUUUAGUAUACAUGACAUAAUAUUGUGCAAACAAAAUUAUAUAUACCGCCUUUACUUGAUCUAUACGUCCGAUAUCAAUAAAAAUUCCAUCUAUUGUCUUUUUUAAAUUCCUUGAUUAAAUGAACGUAUGAGGUGUGCACUCUUGGAUUCUUAAAAAUGUUUUUGUCAUUAUCACAACACAGUUUUUAUCAUAAAUUAUCACACAAACCAUAAGAACUAGGCCUAAAAGUUAGUGAUAUUCUUCCUAAAUAGCCAUUUUAUCUCAGACCCUGGCCAUUGAAUUAGGAAGUUUUCCGACGAAAGCGUGCGGUGCUUGGUGAGACGCAGCAACUCCGAGAGUUCGAUCUGAAGAUAGUACUAGAACAAAAAAUUUAAAGUUAAAGCAAAAUUAGGGUAAAGAGAAGGAUACGCAAAAUCUGUGAGAGAGCUAACUCACUCCUAAAAGGCUGAUUGGAAGCUCCGAGUCAUCAUGGGGCAGUCAGGUUGGCAAUUAUAUCAUCCGUUAGCCAUCUACAGCCGUAAAGUACAAUUUCCGCAAUUUCCUUCUUUUUGUCGUCCUAGUUGAACACUUAGAACAGAUAUUACUAUCGCAUCACAGCACAGCAAUUACUGAAUCCAAGGUCACGAAGUUUCUGGUCAUCUCCAAUCACUAGAAUGUAUUUCCAGGCAUGAAGUAAUAAUUUGACGAACUGCCAAUUACUGUUUCAAUUUGGCCAAAUUGGAGAAUCAAUAAAUGGCCUCUUUAGUCAGGCCAAUCAAUUGAAGGAACUAUUUUGACACUUGAUUGAAUGCGGUCAAUGAUCUAUUGUGGUAACAUCACAUUUGGGUCAACUAUUCCACUUAUGUCAGCAACGGACAAUCAAUCUCACAAAUUGUCAGAAUUUAACGUAUAUUGACAGCAUCAAUUAUUACUAUCCACAGGUCCUUUAUAAGAAUAUUACUAUUGAAAUAGACUGGUGUCUUAUUUCCAGUUAUAUUGCGAAAUGCAAUCAAUUUCUGAUCCUGACCGAUAAGACUUCCUUUCAACUCUGUACCUGAUGUUUGCUUUUCCUGGAGUACAGUAGCGAUUUUUCUAGCUUUUUCCAACUUUUCUACAGUUCUGGACGGCUCAGUCGCUUCGGCAUUGACGGAAACUUUCGAACUUAUCUUUUUAAUUAUAUGGUUUUUAAGAGGUUUAUUUCUACUCAUUAUUUAAUCUUUAACAGGGGACAUAAACUCAGGAGACUUUAUUACAUAAAACUGACUAAACUCACGGUUAGAAUAUUCAAAGA